CACUCUAUAAGUGCCUGAGUUUAUCCCAAGAGAGGACUUCUGCCACACAGCUGCCUCCCAAGGACAUGAGUUCCAGCCACCCCGCCAUGAGGUUUCUUGUCCUCUCCAGCCUGCUCUGCAUCUUGCUUCUCUGCUUCUCCCUCCUAUCCGUGGAAGGGAGAAGGCAUUCUGGGCAUCCCACCAAACACUUGAAAGGCAGGCCCUGCUGUUCCCAAGUUCCUAGGCUUCUCCCAACAACCCAGAAAGGACGUAAUGUGAGGAGCUGCAAACCCUGCAAACUGAGGCCAGAUUCCAGAUUCUGGGUGGUGCCUGGAGCGCUCCCACAGAUAUAGUGUUCCCAGGACAAGGUGCCAUUCAACCGAGACCCUCAUGCCCAGAGCCUGAGGCACCCAGAAGCCUCUGGUUCCUGCAGGAUGCUCCCCUCAAGGCUGGGACUGAUGACAAAGAUCCCCAGGGCUCUGGCCCAUGGAAGCCUCUGCCCAUGAGCCAUGAGCCUCCUCUGGACACAACAUUUCCCGUCUGCCAUGUUGGACUGUGCUCACACUGCCUUUCCUUUGGAAAAGCCUGAACCAGAAUCUUCUGAAAACCACAACAUGGAUUCUGAGGUCAAAGCUCUGGAAUGCUUGUCUUGCUGUGUGACCUUGGAUGAGUAACCUAGUCCCUCUGAGUUCAUGUUGGCUUCAAAGAUGUAAAAUCCAGGGAGAAAAAACAUCCAAGAUAGGCUCCUUAGUCAGUGGCACCAGCCAGCUUUGCUCACCCCUUUCAACCUUCAAGGCAGUGAACUGGGAUGUUGGAGGACUUCAUCUCAGGGACCACGGGACUUGGGAAAGUUCCAGAACUCCAGAUCCUGGUCCCAGUUGUACCACCAACCUUCAGAGUUAUUGUGAGCUAGGCUCAGCCCACCUGGCCUCAAUCUCCACAGGGUCUCUCCAGCAGUGACAGUCAAACAGAUUCCCCUGUGACCUGUGGCAACUGCAAACCCAGACACUUCUGAGACUUCUGGGGUGCAGGGUGACAGGCAUUCAAGAGUAGCUGACCAGGACUGCAGAGGC